rnacentral:rRNA from 1 species
GAAAUAAACUGUUUCUUUUAUAAAUUUUGAAUUUAACUUUUAAGUGAAAAGGCUUAAAUGCAUUAGAGGGACGAUAAGACCCUAUAAAUCUUAAUAUUUUAUUAUUAUAUAUAUUAUUAAUAAUGUUUAUGUAUAUUUAAUAAAAAUAGUAUUUUGCUGGGGCGGUAUAAAUAAAAUUAGUAACUGUUUAAUAUAAAUUCAGAAAUAUCUGAUAUUUAAUAGAUCCUUAUAUAAAGAUUAAAAGGUUAAGUUACUUUAGGGAUAACAGCGUUAUUUCUUUUAAGAGUUCAUAUCUAAAAAGAAGUUUGCGACCUCGAUGUUGAAUUAAAAUUUCUUUGUGGUUGCAGUAGCUACGAAAGAAAGUCUGUUCGACUUUUAAAAUUUUACAUGAUUUGAGUUCAGACCGGUGUAAG